rnacentral:tRNA from 1 species
GCCCGGCUAGCUCAGUCGGUAGAGCAUGAGACUAUUAAUCUCAGGGUCGUGGGUUCGAGCCCCACGUUCGGCG